UACGUAGGCAGCAAGCGUUGUUCGGAAUUACUGGGCGUAAAGAGUGUGUAGGUGGUGCUCCAAGUCUGUUGUGAAAUCUCCCGGCUUAACUGGGAGGGUGCGGCGGAAACUGGAAUGCUUGAGGAUGGGAGAGGAAAGCGGAAUUCCUGGUGUAGCGGUGAAAUGCGUAGAUAUCGGGAGGAACACCAGUGGCGAAGGCGGCCGGCUGGGGGUGCCCUGACGCUGAGGCGCGAAAGCGUGGGAGCGAACCGG
rnacentral:rRNA from 1 species